AAGAGACAGCAGCAGCCGCGGUAAUACGAAGGGUGCAAGCGUUACUCGGAAUUACUGGGCGUAAAGCGUGCGUAGGUGGUGGUUUAAGUCCGUUGUGAAAGCCCUGGGCUCAACCUGGGAAUUGCAGUGGAUACUGGGUCACUAGAGUGUGGUAGAGGAUAGUGGAAUUUCCGGUGUAGCAGUGAAAUGCGUAGAGAUCGGAAGGAACAUCUGUGGCGAAGGCGACUAUCUGGGCCAACACUGACACUGAGGCACGAAAGCGUGGGGAGCAAACAGGAUUAGAUACCCCAGUAGUCCCUGUCUCUUAUAC
rnacentral:rRNA from 1 species